rnacentral:tRNA from 1 species
GGAGGUAUAGCUCAGUUGGUAGAGUGCUUGCCUUGCAUGCACAAGGCCUUGGGUUCAAUUCCCAGCACCACAC